GUCUGUCAAAGAUGUUCUGUCAGAGAAGACUUGAGGAGUCUGUCUUGGGUUCAGAGGCUGAUUGACACAGGUGAAAGGAUGUUUUGAUAUAGCAAACGCAUGAAAGGACACAUGAUGAAGGAGUAUGAACAUGACCCCACAGACAGUGGGAGACAAGCACUGAGCAUUGGUUUGGUUGGCUCCACCUUGCUAUUCUUUGCUAACGGCACACAUGUAUUGGUUCACCUUACGUAGCAUUGUUGAACUUCACUUGUGGUAACGCUGCCAUUGAGAGAAACUCACCCAAGAACUGCUAGUAAGGUUCCUGCGGCAGUUGGCUGCUUCUGCAGCCUCACCUCAGGCCAGUUGGAAAAC
ensembl:lincRNA Gm43122 predicted gene 43122